UACGAAGGGGGCUAGCGUUGCUCGGAAUCACUGGGCGUAAAGCGCACGUAGGCGGCUUUUUAAGUCAGGGGUGAAAUCCUGGAGCUCAACUCCAGAACUGCCUUUGAUACUGAGAAGCUUGAGUCCGGGAGAGGUGAGUGGAACUGCGAGUGUAGAGGUGAAAUUCGUAGAUAUUGGGAAGAACACCAGUGGCGAAGGCGGCUCACUGGUCCGGUACUGACGCUGAGGUGCGAAAGCGUGGG
rnacentral:rRNA from 1 species